GCUGACCUCCUCUCUGCAGUGCCGUCACCACGUGACCCCGCCCCCGCACGGGGGCGGCCAUCUGUGUGCGGCAGCAGGAUUGGUCGCCCCGCUCCUACGAGGGGGAGGGGAGGCGGGCAGCGCGCACUCGCGCGUGCGUGAGCUGGCGCGCGAGAAAGCGCUCGGUCGCGCCGAGGCUCGAGCGGCCGUCGCCAUUUUGUAGGGUUCUCUCUGACGCGGGACCCGCCGCCACCGCCGGCACCACCCGGAGGCUCUUGUCAGGAUGGUGAAGCUGUUCAUUGGAAAUCUGCCCCGGGAGGCCACAGAGCAAGAGAUCCGCUCACUCUUCGAGCAGUACGGGAAGGUGCUGGAAUGUGACAUCAUUAAGAACUAUGGUUUUGUGCACAUAGAGGACAAGACGGCCGCUGAGGAUGCCAUACGUAACCUGCACCACUACAAGCUGCACGGAGUGAACAUCAAUGUGGAAGCCAGCAAGAAUAAGAGUAAAGCUUCAACCAAGUUACAUGUGGGCAACAUCAGCCCCACUUGUACCAACCAAGAGCUUCGGGCCAAGUUUGAGGAGUAUGGCCCAGUCAUCGAAUGUGACAUCGUGAAAGAUUAUGCCUUUGUACACAUGGAGCGGGCAGAGGAUGCAGUGGAGGCCAUCAGGGGCCUUGACAACACAGAGUUUCAAGGCAAACGAAUGCAUGUGCAGUUGUCAACUAGUCGACUUCGGACUGCCCCUGGGAUGGGAGACCAGAGUGGUUGCUAUCGGUGUGGGAAAGAAGGACACUGGUCCAAAGAGUGCCCAGUAGACCGUACAGGGCGUGUGGCAGACUUUACUGAGCAGUACAAUGAACAGUAUGGAGCAGUGCGCACGCCCUAUACCAUGGGUUAUGGGGAAUCCAUGUAUUACAACGAUGCCUAUGGAGCACUUGACUACUAUAAGCGCUACCGGGUCCGAUCUUAUGAAGCUGUGGCAGCAGCCGCUGCAGCUUCUGCAUACAAUUAUGCAGAGCAGACCAUGUCUCAUCUUCCUCAAGUCCAGAGCUCAGCUGUACCCAGUCACCUCAACUCCACUUCUGUUGAUCCCUAUGACAGACACCUAUUGCAGAACUCCGGCUCAGCUGCCACCUCAGCAGCCAUGGCUGCCGCCGCCUCUUCCUCCUAUUAUGGAAGGGACAGGAGCCCACUACGUCGGAAUGCAGCUGUGCUCCCUGCAGUUGGAGAGGGUUACGGUUAUGGGCCAGAGAGUGAGAUGUCUCAGGCUUCAGCAGCGACACGGAAUUCUCUGUAUGACAUGGCCCGGUAUGAGCGGGAGCAGUAUGUGGACCGAGCACGGUACUCAGCCUUUUAAAAACUGGAGGUGUGAACCUCAAAUGGACUGAAUAACCCUGAGUUGGUUGCAGUCCCAGGAGCCUGAUGUUAAUGAGGCUGCCAGGAUGAAAUACUCUACAACUGUUGGGGAUCCAAAUUCGGGUCUCACCCUAACAGAACUGAUCCAAGAACAUCACAGCUUUUGAAGUCGAUUGGCACAGAUCAAGACCAAGAUUUGGCCCUGUGUCUGUAUUAAGUAGAGGAGCUUGGUGACGGGACCAGGGCCCUUGUACUCGGAACCAGGCUGCUCUCCAGGCAUUGUGUAAGCCUCUUGUGUUGUGCUUUCUUUCAGUGGCUGAGCACCUGCUGUGGGCCAGGCCAUGUCUGAAUGAAAUAGUAAAGAACACGGGAUGACAGAGUCACUUGAGAUCUUAAAGAGACUACUGAGAUGAAUAUGAAAGGUCUGCCUGAGACAGCCUUUGACCUACUACUUUCCUCUGAUUUCCAGCCACACUGUGAAGACAGGCACAGAAAAGUACUGCAAGGAGCUUUUCCCAAGGACAGAAAGAGGAAACCGAAGGACAAAAAACUGAAACACAAAUCAACAACUGGCAAAGGUCCUGAAAAGCUAGAGUCCUGCCCCCAUAACACAUCAGAAAGAAAAGUUCUCAUUCUUCAUAUAGAAAGACCAACUGGGCAGCUGGCAGUGGCCCAAGCUGGCCAGGAUGGAACUAUCAAGAGGGAGACAUGAACCAGGUGUAGCGGCACUUGCCUUUAAUUCCAGAACUUGGGAAGCAAGAGCAAGUGGCUAUCUAAUCUGAGCUGAAGAUACAAAAUGGGGAAUUUCUGAGCAUAGCAAGCCCUUGAAUUCACUGGCUCACUUAAGUGUACUGGAGACAGGAAGAUGACAAGGAACAAAAUGUAAGAGCUCUCUGGAGUCUCCUAUAUCAAGAGGUCAGAGAGGGAAAGAGAAAACUCAGAAGAGGUUGGAAGGCCCUGGAAGACUAUUUAACUAUGUUAAAGCUAAGAACUGAUCAGGGGUUGAGAUUAACUGCAAAGCACCACAAGAGUUUUUGUAGACAAAAAUGACCUUCAUUUUGAUUGUGGUGAUUAUCACCACCACUUGUUAAUGUCUUUGUCAAAAUGUACUGACCUGCACUCAAAA